rnacentral:rRNA from 1 species
GGUUUGAUUAUGGCUCAGGAUUGAACGCUGGCGGGAUGCUUUACACAUGCAAGUCGAACGGCAGCAUCGGACUUCGGUCUGUGGCGAGUGGCGAACGGGUGAGUAAUGUAUCGGAACGUGCCUAGUAGCGGGGAUAACUACGCGAAAGCGUAGCUAAUACCGCAUACGCCUUCGGGGGAAAGCGGGGACCUUUCGGGCCUCGCAUCAUUAGGAGCGGCCGAUAUCGGAUUAGCUAGUUGGUGGGGUGCAACGGCCUCACCACAGCGACGAUCCGUAGCUGGUUUGAGAGACGACCAGCCACACUGGGACUGGAGACACGGCCCAGACUCCUACGGAGGCAGCAGUGGGGAAUUCUUGGACAAUGGGAAACCCCGAUCCAGCCAUCCCGCGUGUGCGAUGAAGGCCUUCGGGUUGUAAAAAAGCACUUUUGGCAGGAAAGAAACGGCACGGGAUAAUACCCCGUGCAACUGACGGUACCUGCAGUAUCAAGCACCGGCUAACUACAACAGCAGCCGCGGUAAUACGUAGGGUGCAAGCGUUGGAAUCGAAUUACUGGGCGUAAGCGUGCGCAGGCGGUUCGGAAAGAAAGAUGUAAAAACUCCCAGAGCUUAACUUUGGAAUCGCAUUUUUAAUUACCGAGCUAGAGAGUGUGUCAGAGGGCAGAAUUCCGCGCGUAGCAGGAAUGCGCAGAUAUGCGGAGGAACACCGAUGGCGAAGGCAGCUCUCUGGGAUAACACUGACGCUCAUGCACGAAAGCGUGGGGAGCAAACAGGAUUAGAUACCCUGGUAGUCCACGCCCUAAACGAUGUCAACUAGCUGUUGGGGCCUCGGCCUUGGUAGCGCAGCUAACGCGAAGUUGACCGCCCGGGGAGUACGGUCGCAAGAUUAAAACUCAAAGGAAUUGAUUUGGGACCCGCACAAAGCGGUGGAUGAUGUGGAUUAAUUCGAUGCAACGCGAAAACUUUACCUACCCGAUGUUCAAAUCCUGAAGAGAUUUGGGAGUGCUCGCAAGAGAACCGGAACACAGGUGCUGCAUGGCUGUCGCCAGCUCGUGUCGUGAGAUGUUGGGUUAAGUCCCAACGAGCGCAACCCUUGUCAUUAGUUGCUACGAAAGCGGGCACUCUAAUGAGACUGCUGCGACAAACCGGAGGAAGGUGGAUGACGUCGUAAGUCUCAUGGUCUUAUGGUGGUGGGCUUCACACGUCAUACAAUGGUCGGGACAGAGGGUCGCCAACCCGCGAGGGGGAGCCAAUCCCAGAAACCUGAUCGUAGUCCGGACGCAGUCUGCAACUCGACUGCGUGAAGUCGGAAUCGCUAGUAAUCGCGGAUCAGCAUGUCGCGGUGAAUACGUUCCUGGUCUGUACACACCGCCCGUCACACCAUGGGAGUGGUUUACCAGAAGAGGUUAGCCCAACUGCAGAGGCGAUUACCACGGUAGGAUUCAUGACUGGGGUGAAGUCGUAACAAGGUAG